UAGCAGGCAAUCUAAAUUACACACAUCCCUUCUUGUUGUUCUUUAUAUCUAAAGGAGUCUGCACUUUGACCAAUAACUGAAAAUCUUAAUUCUAAUUUAGUAGAUUUUUGUUUGUAAAGUGACGCAGCGAAUCAAAAUCUACACUUUAUUGCCAAAAGUUGUCACGUCCGCUGUGGCAGAGGCAUGGAGAGCAGAUUGCAGCCGAAUGCAAGCACUGAAGAUGGACUGGAACUGAGAGUGAGCCUUUAUUACGGUGGAGCAGAAUACAAACAAAAGCAAAAGGGGACAGAGACCAAACAAGCCAAACCUAAACUGGGAGAAACCUGAAAAAACAACAACAAAGAAAAUAAAAACCUGAGACAUGGGACAUGCAGUUGGUAAUAAGCAGAUGGAUCAGCGAUAAACAGACGAAGACACGGGGCUUAAAUACACAGAGGGAUGACGAGGGAAUGAGACACAGGAGGAGAGCACAGACACAAUGAGACAAAGGGGAAGCAAACCUCAAAACACUGAACACAGGACACAAGAUGAUCAGAGUAAAACAGGAAAGGACAGAAAGUUAAAGUUUGUGCUGUGCUGACUUUCAAAUUCAAAUGGUUAUCACUGUCUUUCAGUUUCAGUCUCCAGGAUCUCUAUGCAAGAUGUCUGCGCCCAAAGCUGCUGGGAUCACUAUGUUUACUUUUACCUCCAACUCCCAAAGUCCCUGCCGUCCUCUGUUCCAGAUCCUCAAGAGCCCUUGCUACAGGCCAUUGUUCUCCGCUGUGUCCAAGCACCUGAGGGGGCCCAGAGAGCUUUGAGACAGUGUCGGGGGUUCUGCAGGUUAGGAUUGGGCUGCUCAGUAUUGGACUCGGCGUUAUCUUUUCAUGUACUAGUCUAAACUAUCUUGGUUUCUCUAGCUUCCCAUAUUGGUCAGGAGCAAUGUUCAUUGUGCUUGGCAUCAAAGCCCUCUUGUUUGAUAAGCACCCAACUGGGGUGAGUAAUUCAGCUUUAUUAUAUAUACAUAUACUGAGCAGGCAUAACAUUUGUGUUUACAAAAGGUGACAGAAAGGUGUCAGAAUGCACAGUGCAUCACUGCUUGUUGCACAUGGAGCUGCAUGGCUGCACAGGUGGUCUGGAAUGAUGAAUCUUUUUUUUUUACAUCACAUGGAUGGCUGGGUGUGUGUGCUUACCUGGGGAACACGUAGCACCAGGAUUCACUAUGGGAAGAAAGCAAUGCUGGGGAUGCAGUGUGAUGCUUUGGCCAUUGUUCUGUGUUGGGUCUCGCCAUACAUGUGGAUGAUACUUUGACAAAGACCACUUAACUAAGCAUUCUUUCAGACCAUGUACAUGCUUUCAUGGAGAUGGUGCUCCCUGGUGGUUGUGGCCACUUUCAGCAGAAUAAAGCACCCUGCCACAAAGGAAAAAUGGUUGAGGGAUGGUUUGGGGAGCACAAAUGAGUUUGAGGUGUUGGCUUGGUCUCCAAAUUCCCCAGAUCUCAAUCCAGUCGAGAUUCUGUGGGAUUUGCUGGCCAAACAAUUCCGAUCUAUGGAAGCCGCACCUCACAACUUACAGGACCUUAAGGGACCUGUGGCUAAAAUGAUGGUGCAAAUAUUACACCAUCAUCUUUUCUACAUGAUACAUGUAGCAGUAGAUAUCUCCAAAUAUGCACCCACAUUGUGUUGAACAGCGUUGAAGAAAUUUCCUCCAGUGAACAGGAGUCACACAGUGACUUCCACUGUGGAGACAAACUGUUAAAGUUGAAGCAUUUGUUGGCUUUUUAAGUUGUCUGAGUGUUAAAUGCAUAUUUUGUUGUGCAUAAAGUGACACAAGUCUUGUAUUUUAGGUCAUACUCAACAUGAUUUU